rnacentral:rRNA from 1 species
UACGUAGGGGGCAAGCGUUGUCCGGAUUUAUUGGGCGUAAAGAGCGUGUAGGCGGCUUUGCAAGUCCGUUGUGAAAACUCGAGGCUCAACCUCGAGACGCCGGUGGAAACUGCAAAGCUAGAGUCCGGAAGAGGAGAGUGGAAUUCCUGGUGUAGCGGUGAAAUGCGCAGAUAUCAGGAGGAACACCGGUGGCGAAGGCGGCAUCCUGGACCAACACUGACACUGAUGAGCGAAAGCCAGGGGAGCAAACGGG